rnacentral:rRNA from 1 species
UCGAGAAUUUUUCACAAUGGGGGAAACCCUGAUGGAGCGACGCCGCGUGGAGGAUGAAGGUUUUCGGAUUGUAAACUCCUGUCACUGCAGAACAAGGGUGGGCUUGUUAAUAGCAAAUCCAUUUGAUGGUAUGCGGAGAGGAAGGGACGGCUAACUCUGUGCCAGCAGCCGCGGUAAGACAGAGGUCCCGAGCGUUGUUCGGAUUCAUUGGGCGUAAAGGGUGUGUAGGAGGUCGGGUAAGUCAGGUGUGAAAUCUCAGAGCUUAACUCUGAAACUGCGCUUGAUACUGCCCGGCUAGAGGAUCGGAGGGGGUAACGGAAUUCAUGGUGUAGCAGUGAAAUGCGUAGAUAUCAUGAGGAACACCGGUGGCGAAGGCGGUUACCUGGAAGAUUCCUGACUCUGAAACACGAAAGCCAGGGGAGCAAACGGGAUUAGAUACCCCGGUAGUCC